UUCCUACUGAAGAUUACUUAUGUCUAACUGAACAGUAAGAACUGUAAAUUCAGUGUCUGGCAUCGUUGGUUUCCUUGGCUUUGUGCAUGUUAAACCUGGUAUUUUUAUUGAGACAUUC